GUCUACGGCUAUACCACCCUGAACACGCCCGAUCUCGGAAGCUAAGCAGGGUCGGGCCUGGUUAGUACUUGGAUGGGAGAAAAAUGGGAAAUAUAUAUA
ensembl:rRNA 5S_rRNA 5S ribosomal RNA